AAAGAAAAAGGCAACUCCGGCAUAGGUGACCCUCACAAAGUCAUUUAAACCAAAAAGUUGUAAAAAUUUGCUGCAAAAGAAAAAGAAAAAGAAAAAAAACUCACCCGCUGUUAGUUGGUUCAGAGGUAUCUGGCGCUGAACUCGGUAGGGAGGAUUACGAUCUGAUCCCUCACAACUGAAUUUGGGUGAAAUAAAAGGGUUUACACAUAAUUAUGUG
rnacentral:lncRNA from 1 species